rnacentral:rRNA from 1 species
UACGUAGGGGGCUAGCGUUGUCCGGAAUCAUUGGGCGUAAAGAGCGUGUAGGCGGCCCGGUAAGUCCGCUGUGAAAGUCGGGGGCUCAACCCUCGAAUGCCGGUGGAUACUGUCGGGCUAGAGUGCGGAAGAGGCGAGUGGAAUUCCUGGUGUAGCGGUGAAAUUCGUAGAUAUUGGGAAGAACACCGGUGGCGAAGGCGGCGACCUGGUCCGAUACUGACGCUGAGGCGCGAAAGCGUGGGGAGCAAACAGG